rnacentral:rRNA from 1 species
GACGUAGGGUGCAAGCGUUGUCCGGAUUUAUUGGGCGUAAAGAGCUCGUAGGCGGCUUGUUGCGUCGACUGUGAAAACCCGCGGCUUAACCGCGGGCUUGCAGUUGAUACGGGCAGGCUAGAGUUCGGUAGGGGAGACUGGAAUUCCUGGUGUAGCGGUGAAAUGCGCAGAUAUCAGGAGGAACACCGGUGGCGAAGGCGGGUCUCUGGGCCGAUACUGGCGCUGAGGAGCGAAAGCGUGGGGAGCGAACAGG